ACAACUCUAUGCGGUGGAUCACUUGGCUCGUGCGU
rnacentral:rRNA from 1 species